ACAUGACUACAACAUAGCGUUAAUGCAUCAAAUCAUAUUAGAACUCUACAGUUAAGUGAGCUCGGGCUAGAGUAGUACUGGGAUGGGUGACCGUUUGGGAAGCCCUGGUAUUUUACAUGCA
rnacentral:rRNA from 1 species